UUUAGGCUGGCUGUUGCUGUGGUAACCAUCUACCUGUGGGUGUAAGUUGGCAGCACCUUUCCUUGGCUGUACCAGGUACCUCUUGCCUUCUUCCCUGAAGCUCUUGGGAUGCCUGCAGGAGCCCCACAGCCAUUCUGACACAUGCACCUGGGCCAUCCUGGAAGUGUGAGGGAACCAACACCCAUGAGGCAACGCUGGACCAUAGAAGAAUAGGAGCUGGCAUUUAAAUACCACCCUUUUUCAUCCUGGGAAAAACAGUUCUGAGGUGCAUUCCAGACAUGAUUUCAACUCCCUGGAAUCACUCAAGUUCCCAUGAUUAGGAGGUCAAUCCAAAAACCAGCGAGAGCUGACAUUUUCACUCACCUCUGCCUGCAAUAAUUGGAGGAACAAUUGUAUCGCUUGCUCGGAUGGCCAUUGGGUUCCCGAAUGGAUGUAAACUUGAGCAGACUGCUCAGAAAAGGACAAAGUGAUCAGGGAUGAGAGCUCGGAGGGGCGAGACGGCUCGGGGGGACAGACAGUGGAGCCUCAGCAUUCUGAAAACCCUGUCACUGGAAGAGAGAUCAGAGCACAGGGUAUAGAAGUGGCCUUCAAAGAAAUAACAGAAGGAAAAGUUUCUGAGCUGGAGAAAGACCUACAUGUGCAGAUCAAAAGUACUCCCAGGCCCCAGGCAACAAGAACGGAAACAUCAACACCUAGAAAUAGUCUGGUGAAAUUCUUGAACUCCAAGGACAAAGAAAUAAUCACCCACGUGUACUCCAGAGAGAGCAAGCUAACGACAAAAGAAUCAAAGUCAGGCUUACCUUUGGCGGCAUCAACAGGAAACAGCAUGGACAAACGGCAGAGUUCCGAUGGGAAAAGGAGUUGUGGUACACGAGUAUGCUCACGUGGGAAGGCCCAAGGGAGACAUCCUUAGCUAGCAGUGACUCAGGAACACCACCACCCACUGGCCCGUGCUCAAAAACAAACAUGUGUGCCAGCCACCCAAAGUGCAUGUCAUAACAAAGGAUCUGGACAUCACCAAGUUGGGCACAGAAACUGACGGCCAGCACUGAAGUAGUUUAAACACAGAAUUAAGUUUAAAUAACUGUUGUAAAUGUUUUGCAAGCUGAGCGCAAAUGUCAUGGUUAGCUAGGGAACGGGAGGAUAUUGAAGAUAAAGUAGAGUGAAAGCUCCCAGCUGAGCCUGGAAACUGUGGGGGCACAGUGCUGGUUUCCCCAGGUGACGGCAGUGUGGUUCUCCACCCUCAUGGGGCCAAAUGUUUGUAACAGUGAGGGGGGUCGCCCAUGGCUCCUACUGAUGGGGAUGCCUCCACUGCUUCCAUUUGGGUUGGCCUCGGUUGGUUGCCACCAUCUCCACACAGCGAUUCCAAGUGCCUUCCCCUUGGUUGGGGGGAGUGUGCUGGGACGUCCUACAGGACUCCCGGACUGCAGGCAGGUUGUCGUUUGUGGGUGGCGAGUUUGUUGUGUGAGUUGUGUGUAUAAUGAAGGCCAGUCUUCAAGGGCAGUCUGGAUCCCUCUAUUCUGCAUCUUGGACCCACUUCCCCUGCCAUCAUCCCCCUAUUCUUAGAUACUUCUUUCCCUUCUGCACCCCAGGUCCGGUUUUAUUUGGGCUCUGGAAGGAGAGAGACUAAUUAGUUUAUAAUCCACUUUCUUCCUCUGGCACUUCGAAUCUUUGUUCUCACAUUAUGGUAGGCUGCAGAGGAUGCCGCUCAGUAAAAUCCAGACAACGGAAGGGAGGAUAUUCACAGAGAAUGACCAAAUUCACAAUUUGGAACAUAACCCUGUCACACUGCUUUCUAGAGCCCUUUAUAUUGUGGACUAUAACACACACACAAUACAAUGCACAAAGACAGACACCUGUGUGACCUCCACCUGGGCCAAGAGGUAGAACUUGGCCAGUGCCCAGAAGUGCCUUUGCGUCCCCCUCCCAAGCGCCACCCCCUCCUCCUUAACAACCACCACCCUGAACUUUUAUUAAGAAUCACUUACGUGUUUUGCUUUAUAAUUUCACUCUCUAAACAUGCUUUCCCAAACACUCUAGCUUGAUCUUGUCCCCUUUCUUGCACUUUAUAUAACCAAAGUAUAGAGUAUGGAUUUAUUUGUGGGUCUAGCUCCUUUUGCUCGCUGUUACCUUUGUACAGUUCAUCCGUGCUGUUGCCCAUCACUGGAGUCCAUCUGCCUGUGUGGCUGCACAGUGCUCUGUUGUCGGAGUACCCCGUCAUUUAGUUAUCCACUCAACUGUUGAUGGACGUCUGGGCUGUGUCCAAUGUUUGGCCAUUACGAGCAAUACUGCUCUGAGCACUGCUGUCCUCGUCUUGUGGUGCACAUGUGCCUGCAAUUGCAAUUCUGCUGACUGUCUCCUAAAUCCACAGCGCGGCCGGCCUGGCUGCUUUAUUGCCUCUAACUUCCGAUGGGAGUUAUCGGAUUUGGGGAUGCGUGUUUUAGCCCUGGACUUGUAUCCUGACUUCAGAAUACUUAUGUGACACCGUUACAGGACACAAAAAGGCAUUUUAAAUUACAACACUAGUGAAUGUUGAAAUAAUAGUAUGGGAGCCAUCAUACUCCCAGAAGCUCUCAGGUACACGCCGGUGGCAUGGGGUACCCAGCCCCGUGGCCUGAGGGAUGUUGCUGUUCUCCAGCUGACAUCUUUGCUCUCCAAGCAAUAGCGUGCACACAGUCACACUCUUCCCGGCCCACCAACUUUGAACUUAGACAAUUCUUGAUGACAUUUUUUCCCAUUUGGUGGCCUGGUAUUAUUUAUAGUAUGCAUAAAGUGAGGCUUUAUUAAUAUUAUAAAACACUGUUUCAAGACUGAAUAAUUCAAAGGCACAUAAAAAGCAGUUUCACCAUACCUCUAAGUGGCUACUUUGUUAGCCACACAAAUAGCCAGCAAAAGCUUUAAAACUACCGUUUAGAAAAGACUCAAUUAAAUUUGGGUCUACGGCCUAUUCUGGUCCCCAAUCUCUCUUGGAGAACUUGUGGGAAAAGAGAAAUGGAGGUGA